GAGUUUGAUCAUGGCUCAGACUCGACAGGUGGUGCAUGGUAAGGGCGAAUUCGCCCUUGAGUUUGAUCCUGGCUCAGGACGAACGCUGGCGGCACGCCUAACACAUGCAAGUCGAACGGAGAUAUUUUGGUUUACUGAGAUAUCUUAGUGGCGGACGGGUGAGUAACACGUGAGCAACCUGCCUCUGAGAGAGGGAUAGCUUCUGGAAACGGAUGGUAAUACCUCAUAACAUAACGAAGCCGCAUGACUUUGUUAUCAAAGAUUUAUCACUCAGAGAUGGGCUCGCGUCUGAUUAGAUAGUUGGUGAGGUAACGGCUCACCAAGUCGACGAUCAGUAGCCGGACUGAGAGGUUGAACGGCCACAUUGGGACUGAGACACGGCCCAGACUCCUACGGGAGGCAGCAGUGGGGAAUAUUGCACAAUGGGGGAAACCCUGAUGCAGCGAUGCCGCGUGGAGGAAGAAGGUUUUCGGAUUGUAAACUCCUGUCUUAAAGGACGAUAAUGACGGUACUUUAGGAGGAAGCUCCGGCUAACUACGUGCCAGCAGCCGCGGUAAUACGUAGGGAGCGAGCGUUGUCCGGAAUUACUGGGUGUAAAGGGAGCGUASGCGGGAUGGCAAGUCAGAUGUGAAAAACUAUGGGCUCAMCCCAUAGACUGCAUUUUGAAACUGUUGUUUCUUGAGUGAARGWAAGGUAAGCGGAAUUCCYGGUGUAGCGGUGAAYGCCGUAGAUAYCMGGAGGRAMAUCUGUGGCGAAGGCGGCUUACUGGGCUUUUAYUGACSCUGAGGCUCKAAARCGYGGGGAACUAACAGGAUUAGAAUACCCUGGUARUCCASSCUGUAACGAWGAUUAYUAGGUGGUG
rnacentral:rRNA from 1 species